rnacentral:ncRNA from 1 species
AGAACUGCAUAACUGAAAUCUCAAAUGAUGGGGUAACGCCCUGAAGGGGAUUCACUAAUACUCCGGAUAGCGUCAGUCGAAUACAGACGGUUGGGGUUAUAAGCCCGGAGAAGUCGUGCGAAGCACACCCUAACGCUUAAUGGCGAGGAAAGAUUCGUAGAGGUACGGGUUGUGUGUGACAGUGCGGGUG